rnacentral:lncRNA from 1 species
CUUGGGUUCCUCAGGCCAGGCAAGCCUGAGCCAGAAAGGGUGCAUGGUGCCAGCCCCUCAUGGGGACUCUGGGGGUGUCAUCCCCCACUCUUCUAGCCACUGUCGAGCCCCCCCUGGGUCCCCUUCACCAGGCACAACCAUCUCCAGGGCCGUCCGGGAAGUCGUUUUAUUUCUGUAAAUAGAAACCAGCAAGUGUAUACUGUGAUUUAUUUUAAUGUAUUCUUAAGGACAGAAUGGAAAUUCUUUUAAAAACAUUUUCCGACCUUCAAUUCAAGGGGUCUUUUAUUUUGGUGGGGAGGAGUGGGGUGGCCUUUUUAGGAUAGAAGCAACACUUCGCAAUAAACUCAUUUUUUUUUUUUUGGUCCGUUGGAGCCCCCCCCCCAUGUGACCUAGUAAUGUUUGUAAGAAAAAAAAAGUAAAAAAAAAAAAAAUCACAGGACUGGAAAGGAAGGGGAGCUACCUACCAAAAACAGAAGGCAAAGGACUGAGUGAAGCUGGCCACACCACACGUUUCUAUGGAUUUCGGAUUUCUACCCACGUUUCCUCACUCUGUUUUCUAUAUAUUCUAUAUAAAUAUAUAUUGUGGAUGGCCGCCAUGGCAAGGGGUGGCUGGGGCUUUUGUAGGGGCGGGGGACGGGUGACCCGGCCCCCUCAUCGCAAUCAGCUUUGAAGUCUGUAUUUUUUUAUAAUAAAAUGGACAAACUGU